rnacentral:rRNA from 1 species
CCUACGGGUGGCAGCAGUGGGGAAUAUUGGACAAUGGGCGAAAGCCUGAUCCAGCCAUGCCGCGUGUGUGAAGAAGGCCUUCGGGUUGUAAAGCACUUUCAGUGGGGAAGAAAGCCUUGGGGCUAAUACCCUCGAGGAAGGACAUCACCCACAGAAGAAGCACCGGCUAACUCCGUGCCAGCAGCCGCGGUAAUACGGAGGGUGCGAGCGUUAAUCGGAAUUACUGGGCGUAAAGCGCGCGUAGGCGGUCUGAUAAGCCGGUUGUGAAAGCCCCGGGCUCAACCUGGGAACGGCAUCCGGAACUGUCAGGCUAGAGUGCAGGAGAGGAAGGUAGAAUUCCCGGUGUAGCAGUGAAAUGCGUAGAGAUCGGGAGGAAUACCAGUGGCGAAGGCGGCCUUCUGGACUGACACUGACGCUGAGGUGCGAAAGCGUGGGUAGCAAACAGGAUUAGAUACCCGAGUAGUC